rnacentral:rRNA from 1 species
AACGUAGGAGGCAAGCGUUAUCCGGAUUUACUGGGCGUAAAGCGCGCGCAGGCGGUCUGGUAAGUCGGACGUGAAAGCCCCCGGCUCAACUGGGGGAGGCCGUUCGAAACUGUCAGACUUGAGGUCGGAAGAGGGGAGUGGAAUUCCCGGUGUAGUGGUGAAAUGCGUAGAUAUCGGGAGGAACACCAGUGGCGAAGGCGGCUCCCUGGUCCGCACCUGACGCUAAGGCGCGAAAGCGUGGGUAGCAAACGGGAUUAGAUACCCCCGUA